UACGGAGGGUGCAAGCGUUGUUCGGAAUUACUGGGCGUAACGCGCACGUAGGCGGGUUCGCAAGUCGAUUGUGAAAGCCCCGGGCUCAAUCCGGGAAUGGCAGUCGAAACUGCGAGUCUUGAAUACCUGAGAGGGUGACGGAAUUCCUGGUGUAGAAGUGAAAUUCGUAGAUAUCAGGAGGAACACCGGAGGCGAAGGCGGUUGCCUGGCAGUGUAUUGACGCUGAGGUGCGAAAGCGUGGGGAGCAAACAGG
rnacentral:rRNA from 1 species